GCCAGACUCCUACGGGAGGCAGCAGUCGGGAAUAUUGCGCAAUGGAGGAAACUCUGACGCAGUGACGCCGCGUAUAGGAAGAAGGUUUUCGGAUUGUAAACUAUUGUCGUGAGGGAAGAAAUUGACAGUACCUCAGGAGGAAGCUCCGGCUAACUAUGUGCCAGCAGCCGCGGUAAUACGGAGGAUGCGAGCGUUAUCCGGAUUUAUUGGGUUUAAAGGGUGCGUAGGCGGACAGUCAAGUCAGCGGUAAAAAUGCGGUGCUCAACGCCGUACAGCCGUUGAAACUGGCAGUCUUGAGUGGGCGAGAAGUAUGCGGAAUGCGUGGUGUAGCGGUGAAAUGCAUAGAUAUCACGCAGAACUCCGAUUGCGAAGGCAGCAUACCGGCGCCCGACUGACGCUGAGGCACGAAAGCGUGGGUAUCGAACAGGAUUAGAUACCCGAUAC
rnacentral:rRNA from 1 species